AAUUUUAUAUUUUAAUUAAAAAUUUUAGAUUGCAAUUCUAAAGAUAUAAAU
rnacentral:tRNA from 1 species